rnacentral:rRNA from 1 species
CCUACGGGAGGCAGCAGUGGGGAAUAUUGCGCAAUGGGCGAAAGCCUGACGCAGCGACGCCGCGUGAGGGAUGAAGGUCUUCGGAUCGUAAACCUCUGUCAGCAGGGAAGAACGGUCACUGUGCUAAUCAGCAGUGAAUUGACGGUACCUGCAAAGGAAGCACCGGCUAACUCCGUGCCAGCAGCCGCGGGAAUCCGGAGGGUGCGAGCGUUACUCGGAAUUACUGGGCGUAAAGCGCUCGUAGGCGGUAUGUCAAGUAAAGGGUGAAAUCCCCGCGCUCAACGUGGGAACUGCCUUUGAAACUGGCAAACUGGAGUGUGGGAGAGGAUAGUGGAAUUCCAGGUGUAGGAGUGAAAGCCGUAGAGAUCUGGAGGAACAUCAGUGGCGAAGGCGACUAUCUGGCACAUAACUGACGCUGAGGAGCGAAAGCGUGGGUAGCAAACAGGAUUAGAUACCCGGGUAGUC